GGUCCCAUAGCUCAGUUGGUCAGAGCACCUGACUCAUAAUCAGGGAGUCCUUGGUUCAAGCCCAAGUGGGACCA
rnacentral:tRNA from 8 species